rnacentral:lncRNA from 1 species
AGAUAUUUAUCGAUGAUAAAUUUGUACUUAACCUUCUUAAAAGCCAAAGCAAGUCCCUAGCGCAAGUGGUAAAAGACUUAUUGGUUGGUAUCCGAGAUUCUAAAUUCGAAUCCUAAUUGAUUCAUAUUUCCAGCUAAGUUUAUUUUCUAAAUAAAAUAAAACUACGCGGGUAGCAUGCUAUCUAUCUCUCUCUCAAAAAA